rnacentral:rRNA from 1 species
AGACGGAGGAUGGGAGAGGUAUAAGGAGGUAUUGGGUGGAAAGGGAGAGCAGGCGGGAUUUUAAGGCAGCGGUGAAAUUUUCAGGCUCAACCUGAACACUGCCGUUGAAACUGGGAUUCUUGCGUAUGGAUGAAGUAGGCGGAAUUCGUUGUGUAGCGGUGACAUGCUUAGAUAUAACGAGGAACUCCGAUUGCGUAGGCAGCUUACUAAGCCAUAACUGACGCUCAAGCACGAAAGCGUGGGGAUCAAACAGGAUUAGAUACCCUGGUAGUCCACGCCGUAAACGAUGAUUACUAGUUGUUUGCGAUAUACCGUAAGUGACUAAGCGAAAGCGAUAAGUAAUCCACCUGGGGAGUACGCCGGCAACGGUGAA